rnacentral:rRNA from 1 species
ACGCUCGACACCUACGGAGGCAGCAGUGGGGAAUAUUGCACAAUGGGGGAAACCCUGAUGCAGCGACGCCGCGUGAAGGAAGAAGUAUUUCGGUAUGUAAACUUCUAUCAGCAGGGAAGAAGAAAGUGACGGUACCUGACUAAGAAGCCCCGGCUAACUACGUGCCUGCAGCCGCGGUAAUCUGAGCGGGCUGGCAAGGC